GGGCAAGCGUUUGGCAUGUGUUGUAAUUUAUGAAAACACGUUUGAGUUAAAAAUAGUUUUUUCAAGUUUUAAUUAUUAAAACCAAAAAAAUAAUUUAAAAUGUCAGAUCCUGAACUAGAAGCACUUCGUCAACAACGUAUGGCUCAAUUACAGUCACAGUACAAAGGUGGUGAUGCCGGAGAUCAACAGGCAAACGAAGAAAAAAGACAGCAAGUGGCGGAUAUGAAAAAUGUGAUUCUUUCUCAGGUUCUUGAUCAAUCUGCGAGAGCAAGAUUAAAUACUCUGUCUCUGGGUAAACCAGAAAAAGGAAAGAUGGUCGAGGAACUGAUCGUGAAUAUGGCAAAACGAGGACAAUUACCUGGUAAACUAGGCGAGCAAGAGUUAAUCGGCCUUCUUGAAAGUGUCAGUCAACAAACAAAAAAGACAACAACAGUCAAAUACGACAGACGCAGAGCGGCUUUAGAUUCGGACGACGACUUAUAGCACUAGGAAAUAAGACUACACUUAUGUUUAAUACUACGCUUCUUCGUUUAAUUGUCAGAUGCUGACGACAUCGAUCUGUCACAAUUCUUGCCAACUUCAAUUUAUAAGGAACUUCUGAUCUCAAAAUUGAAAGCAUCGCUUCUGUGGAAAACUGUGAAUUAAAAAAAUUAGCUUUAAAUUAAUUGUAAAAAUGUAUAUGAUACACUUUUUGAUAUGCUUCCUCGUGUUUCUCUACUUUUUUCCUGCAAUAAUUGCAAAUUACUUGUACCUAAUUCUGUCCCGGACAAUUUGCGAAUUUGUAAUUGCCCUCCUUGCAGAAUCUUCACAACCACUAUAUGAAAAUCUUUCACACUAUAUUCCAGAUAUCAUUUCCUUUUUAAAAAACGGAACUCUCCCUGAAUCUUUUCAAAGAUAAUAUUUUUUUCAAAUAAUGUACAUUAUUUGAAAGAUUCAAGGAAAAAAAACUAGUAAAAACUUCGAUGUAUACAAAAAAUAUUCUAGGAUAAAUCAAACCAAUGUAAUCUAAAUGAUGAAUUAAUACAAAAUAAAUCAUUCAGACGUUUUA